rnacentral:misc_RNA from 1 species
GAUGAAGAACGUAGUGAAAUGCGAUACGUAAUGUGAAUUGCAGAAUUCAGUGAAUCAUCGAAUCUUUGAACGCACAUUGCGCCCCUUGGUAUUCCGGGGGGCAUGCCUGUUCGAGCGUCAUUAUAACCCUCAAGCCUAGCUUGGUGUUGGAGCAUGCUAUCUAUAGCAGCUCUUAAAAUCAGUGGCAGUGCUCUUCGGCUCUAAGCGUAGUAACUUUUCUCGCUAUAGAGUCUGGAGGGUCCGCGCCAAAACCCCCCAACUUUCUAUGGUUGACCUCGGAUCAGGUAGGGAUACCCGCUGAACUUAAGCAUAUCAAUAAGCGGAGGA